AUUGAAGAAUUAAGGAAGAAAAGGACUAACCUUUUCAUCACAGGCACAUCAAAGAGCAGCCUCAUCGGCAGCACAAAAGACAAUAGCAGCAGCAAUUUCACAAGCGUCGCAAAGGAUUCGCAUAAUUCCCUCCC